rnacentral:rRNA from 1 species
CUGCAACUCGACUCCAUGAAGCUGGAUUCGCUAGUAAUCGCGCAUCAGCCAUGGCGCGGUGAAUACGUUCCCGGGCCCUUGUACACACCGCCCGUCAAGCCAUGGGAGUCGGGAGUGCCUGAAGUUCGUGACCGUCACAGGAGCGACCUAAGGCAAGACCGAUGACUGGGGCUAAGUCGUAACAAGGUACC